rnacentral:lncRNA from 1 species
AUAGAAAGAAACGAUGACUGACCUAAUGAGUGAAAAGCUCAAGGACAUGAAGACAAUGCAGAAAUGUCUACAACUAGUGAUUAAAUAUAUAACGCCUUCUCUGAAAGUACACCCUAAAAAUACAGAAAAUUUUCAGUAAAGCAAGAUAUAUAUAUAUAAUGAACUGGCUACUCAUUCCUUGUUACGUUCCUCUUGUCUUCGUAUAGCAAACAUACAUAUAUUUCGACUGCAUAUAAUAGAAUACAUAUAAGAAAUCUUAUGAUGAAUGCUUUAAUUUAUUUAUUAGUCCGUUCUUAAAUCGUCAUUUGUUAACUCUUUCAUAUAACUUGUAUAAUUAGACUAAUAAAUGUUGUGUAAAAUGCAUGCAGUCGAAUCAUCAUGAGCUAGCAGUGGGCGUGCAUGCCUAAUUAAAAAGUCCAUGUACGUAUAACCUUACUUAUUCUUGACCUUGUUUCUUCUUCUUUUUUCCUUGUGUUUAAGUUAAAUACUUAAUUGAAUUGGCCGCUCAUUGAGUCAAUGUUUUGACGCCUCAUCUGCUGGUAAAACUGAAGGAUGAACUCCUCGGCCUUGGCAUCGAUCAUGUCGUCAGCACCAAUAGCAUCGAAGACCUGGUCAGGAUCCUCUUCUUCCUCCUCGUCAUCGAGUUCUU